rnacentral:rRNA from 1 species
CUUGAAUGAAUAAGCCACGGCUAAUUCCGUGCCAGCAGCCGCGGUAAUACGGGAGUGGCAAGCGUUAUCCGGAAUUAUUGGGCGUAAAGCGUCCGCAGGCGGCCUUGUAAGUCUGUCGUUAAAGCGUGGAGCUCAACUCCAUUUAAGCGAUGGAAACUGUGAGGCUAGAGUGUGGUAGGGGCAGAGGGAAUUCCCGGUGUAGCGGUGAAAUGCGUAGAUAUCGGGAAGAACACCAGUGGCGAAGGCGCUCUGCUGGGCCAUAACUGACGCUCAUGGACGAAAGCCAGGGGAGCGAAAGGGAUUAGAUACCCCUGUAGUCCUGGCCGUAAACGAUGAACACUAGGUGUCGGGGGAAUCGACCCCCUCGGUGUCGUAGCCAACGCGUUAAGUGUUCCGCCUGGGGAGUACGCACGCAAGUGUGAAACUCAAAGGAAUUGACGG